UCUCCAUUUGCAAUAAACCCUAGUUUUGCACUAGUUCUAUCUCCAAUCAAAACUCCUAAAUCUCUUCAAAUCCGAUUUGAUUCUGUUCCUAAUCUUAUAUUUUGAAGUGGAAAAGGUGUUUGAAGACCGGAAAAGUGAAUCUCGACGACUUUAAUCGAAAAAAAGGUAUGUAUGCUCAUCUCCCAUUCUCUUAUCUCGGUUUUUCUUAUCUUUGUAGAGGUUUCAGUUUAUUCGAGUAGGAUUUCUGCAUUUUUACGAUAAAAAUCAUAUUAUUUGUGUACUUUGAAACCAAACAUGACGUCCAAAUUUGAGAGUUUUAAGUUUUUUGGUUUCUUUUGUAUCGAUGUGGAUGAUUUUUUUUGUACAAAAUUAAGAAACAAAUCUUGUUUUUCAUGUGUAGUAUCUUGAUUCGUGCAUCAUACAUGCAAAUGUUAGUUUAUUUGAUGAAAGAAAUUGAUUUAUAUUGUCUAUUUUUUAGGAUGGAGGAAUGCAAAAUUUUGAUAUGUAUGAUGAUUGUGCCUUUUAAGUGAAAUGACUUAUCUUGAUUAAUUACUGAAUGUAAAUUGCAGUAUAAAUGUAUGGAAGAGUUUGAUCUUGUGUAUCAACAUCACUAACUUGUGCAUUUCAUCCAUUUGAGCUCUGUUUUUCGAUCUUAACUUUCUAAACUAGAACUUUGACUCCUUUCUUUUUACAAUCCAAUUUUUAAUGUGUUCUUUAACUAUUGGGUGGGGGAACUUAGAAUUAAACUAAUCUUAGCAUUGGUGGAUGGAUUGAAGGCCAAAAUAAUGUGUAGAUUGUAUAAAAAAAAAAAAAAAAGAGAAGGGCAGAAAAUGGAUUGUAUUCUUGUACCUAAUGCAGUGAAGGAAUUGAACAGUAUUUAGGAGUCAAGGAGAUGUCACCUCUUAGUGGCUGGGGAGCAUGAGUGUGAAGUUCCUACAUCGUAACCUUGAGGGGAAAAAUAUGUAAUUGUCAGGUAGGGAUAUAUUUGGGAUUCCCUAUAGGCAUGCAACUUUUUGGAUAAAUCACAGAUGGGAGAAUGCAGAAAAUUACUCAGUGUAGUUAAUAGCGCGCUAUGGUGCGCGCCAUACGGCGUCCAUGGCGACGUCCUUCUAUAUGGCGUCGCCGUAGCGCGCGCCUGGGUGCCAUUUCGGCAUUGCCCAGGCGCUCCAUGUGAAGGGGCCUGGGCAGCGGGCUGCUGGCUAGGCUGCAGCUCGCCCAGGCCCAUGAAAUUAAAAAAAAAAGGGUAAACCCUAAUUAAAAAAAAGGAUUGACUCGUCAGUUCUGUCUUGACUUUUCAGUUCUCACUUGAUUCUUCAGUUCUCACAUGACUUUUCAGUUCUCUCUUCUCUUGUUCGGUUCUUCCUCUGCCAAGUGCCAACAGAUCUUCUUCUUAAUUAUUCUCUAGUUCUCUUCUUCUCUUCCAUAUAACUUAUAAGCAUCUUGUCCUGCCGCUGCUGUUCACACUUCACCGUAACGGAAUGACUUUUUUCUAAAUUAAUUACAGUUUUUUAUUGUAUGUUUAUGUUGAUGUUGAUAUUUAUUGUAGAUUUUUGCCAAAAAUCAUGAAACUCAAAACUACAUGCAGCAUACUUAAAGAUGAUGAAGUAACUAUUGUUUAGAUUCUUAUAAAUAAAAUAUAAAUAUUAUAUAUAUAUAUAUGUAUAUAUAUAACGCAUUUAAUAUUAAUUAUAUAAAUAUAUAGAUUAUUUGUUAUAUUUGCGCCAACCUUCGAAAAGGCGCGCGCCGCGCCGUGCACCGUGCGCCAUGGCUCCAGGAGCCCUUGGCGCCAUUGUACGUCGUGCGCCACUAACUACUAUGAAAUUAUUGUAACAGUAGGUUUUUCCUAGAUAAAUACAUGAAAUCCUACAAAUAUUCUAUACAUCCAGUACUAGAUCAGACCUUUUGGCCUUUGGGGGAGGAUGUUGCCCAUAUUACUCUUAUGCCUCCAGUUAGUAAGAGAAUGCCAGGCAGGCCUAAGAAAAAUAGAGGAAAGGAACCCAGUGAGGCACCUAAUGCAGCCAAAAGAUCAAGCAUAGUUACAUAUAAUGCUUGCAAUAAAUUAGGGCAUAAUAGAAUAACAUGCCCAAGCAUUCACGUAUUUCAAGAGUUUAUAUCCAUCUCCUUUUACAUGUACAUUUUCCUUUUUGUUGUUUGAAUUCUUCUAUCACCCUUGGUUUUUUCUGUUUUUAUAAUUUCAAAGCUUUUUUUUUAUCUUUCCAUGGCAUCUUCUGAUGACUCAAUGAGAUUCAUGGGGGAGAAUUCUAUCGGCGAUGACCCCACCGAAGCAAUAUUGAGGGUGACGGGCUCAAGAUCGAUCUCCUAGAGAUGACCCAAGCGCCUGCAGCCUGAGGCAGGUGGCCACCUUACAGCGUUGUUUGGUCAAUGAGCCUUCUAACCUAGAAGAAAAUUCCUUUGGUGAGACUGAGGGGAAAGUUUCCUUGAGGGAGGAAGAGGAGAGAGAAGAGUCAAUUGCGGUUGGUGAUGAGGGGGAUAGAGCCACUAGCCCUAUCCUGAUCCCAAGAUGCAGACGACCACCGACUAGAAAAUGAUUAUGACGUCUACUACGAUUGUCGUGGGUUGGUGGAUGAAAAACUCCUCGACAAUUUGGCUUGAGCUCUAAGGCGGUCCACUUGGACGAGCUCAUCGAAGGCCUCAUUUUCAACAAAUUGUUGAAGGAGAUUGUCAAGGGUAGCCCUAGGGGUCGCCAAGCUGUUCUUACUACGAUGACUUUCGAAAGUACACCAGCCUCUAAUGAUUCUUGAGGGAUGUUCCCAGAGACGGCACCUCACGGAUUUUCCAAGCAGACCAAGGGGAGCUCCUCAAGCCAGCCUCA